rnacentral:rRNA from 1 species
GACGAACGCUGGCGGCGUGCUUAACACAUGCAAGUCGAACGGAAAGGCCCUGCUUUUGUGGGGUGCUCGAGUGGCGAACGGGUGAGUAACACGUGAGUAACCUGCCCUUGACUUUGGGAUAACUUCAGAAGACUGGGGCUACUACCGGAUAGGAGCUCCUGCUGCAGGGUGGGGGUUGGAACGUUUCGUCGGUUUGGCAUGGACUCGCGGCUUAUCAGCUUGUUGGGGGGGUAGUGGCUUACCAAUGAUUUGACGGGUAGCCGGACUGGGAGGGUGACCGGCCACAGUGGGACUGAGAUGCGGCCCGUACGCCAUCUUGGGGCAGCAGCGGGGAAUAUUGCACAACGGGCCGAGGGCUGAUGGAGCAACUCCGGGUUCGGGAGCACGGCCUGCGGGUUGUAAACCGCUUUCGCCUGUGCCGAGGCGUGAGUGCCGGUACUGGGGAAUGAAGCACCGCCUACCUACGU